rnacentral:rRNA from 1 species
GAAAGCAUCUAAGCAUGAAGCCCCCCUCAAGAUGAGAUUUCCCAACUUCGGUUAUAAGAUCCCUCAAAGAUGAUGAGGUUAAUAGGUUCGAGGUGGAAGCGUAGCGAUACGUGGAGCUGACGAAUACUAAUCGAUCGAAGACUUAAUCAAUUU